rnacentral:rRNA from 1 species
UACAGAGGUGGCAAGCGUUGUUCGGAAUUACUGGGCGUAAAGGGCGCGUAGGCGGCCAUCUAAGUCAGACGUGAAAUCCCCAGGCUCAACUUGGGAACUGCGUCUGAUACUGGAUGGCUUGAAUUCGGGAGAGGGAUGCAGAAUUCCAGGUGUAGCGGUGAAAUGCGUAGAUAUCUGGAGGAAUACCGGUGGCGAAGGCGGCAUCCUGGACCGACAUUGACGCUGAACGGCGAAAGCUAGGGGAGCAAACGGG